AGUGAACGCUGGCGGUAGGCCUAACACAUGCAAGUCGAACGGCAGCACAGUAAGAGCUUGCUCUUAUGGGUGGCGAGUGGCGGACGGGUGAGGAAUACAUCGGAAUCUAGUUUUUCGUGGGGGAUAAGGUAGGGAAACUUACGCUAAUACCGCAUACGACCUACGGGUGUAAGGAGGGGAUCGUCGGACCUUGCGGGAUUGAAUGAGCCGCUGUCGGAUUGGCUAGUUGGCGGGGUAAAGGCCCACCAAGGCGACGAUCCGUAGCUGGUCUGGGAGGAUGAUCGGCCACACUGGAACUGAGACACAGUCCAGACUCCUACGGGAGGCAGCAGUGGGGAAUAUUGGACAAUGGGCGCAAGCCUGGUCCAGCCAUACCACGUGGGAGAAGAAGGCCUUCGGGUUGUAAAGCCCUUUUGUUGGGAAAGAAAAGCAGCAGGUUAAUACCCCGCUGUUCUGACGGUACCCAAAGAAUAAGCACCGGCUAACUUCGUG
rnacentral:rRNA from 1 species